rnacentral:tRNA from 1 species
GCAGUGGUUCAGUGGUAGAAUUCUUGCCUUCCGUGUAGGAGACCUGGGCUCCAUUCCUGGCCAAUGCA